GAGGGUAUAGCUCAAGCAGUAGAGUGCAUGCUUAGCAUGCAUGAGGUCCUGGGUUCAAUCCCCAGUACCUCCA
rnacentral:tRNA from 1 species